GGAUCCCUCAGCUGAGUGGCUCUGCUGAGGUCAUAGGGUGUUUGUAGUACUGCAGUGCUUCAGGCUGGACUGUCUAAGAAAAAGGCAAUUUUCAUGUACCAUCUCCUGAUCUGUUUGUACCAUUGACAGCAACAGAGUCCUAACUGCCUGAGUUCAUCAAGAACUGUCCAGUGGGUGACUCUUUGCUCCUCCACAGCAAAAGCUGGCUGAGGAAAUACAACUUGCUGAAGGCGGUUACCUUUGUUCGAAGCCAACUGAGACAGCGCCAGCACUCAGUAAUUACAGCCAUACAGUUUCCAGGAGACUCCUUCUUCACCAGACCUGUCGUCUCAUGUCCCCAU